rnacentral:lncRNA from 1 species
UUCACUGCAGGCAAAAUGAAGGCACUAAGUGGGGAAACACAAAUGCUGACCUCAAGGAGAAGCUGAAGCCAAGAGUAUUAAUCACAGUGGUGAAGAUAAGAAAGAUGACCCCAAGUAAGAAAGCCCAGAAAGGCACUUGCUGUUGACUCCCUCAGAAAGAACACCACGAAAGACCAUGGAUCAUGUAAAUAAGAAGAAGAAAGAAAGUAAGGAAGAAACACCAUACCUUGUUGAGAGCUGUAAAUGGUAUGAUAUUUUACUCCAUGUGGAGCUAACAAACUAGCCUGUCACAACUUCAAGGAUGCUGUCGGAAGACACAAGAUUCCUGGGUCAGAGCCAAAGGACCGUAUCAACGAUGGCAGUGCCUGGGCAUCCCACAUGUGUGUUUAUUCUCCUUGCCCAGAAAAAUGGUGUGGAACGCCCUCGAUGAAACGUGUACACAGUGGGUUGCAUGACAGGAGAAAAUCUCAGAGACUUAGGAACCCAAAUAUGUUAUUGUGAGCAGUGAGCAUUGCUGCCCUUGGCUCCCCGGGAAGACAACAUCUGUAUCUUCCAACAGUGUUAACUGCACAGACAUCCUUGAAAAGAUAGUCCAGAACAAAGGGUGGUUAGUGCCUUGCUGGCAAAAUGUGAUAAAAAUAUGACACUCUUUGAAAUUAUCGUCCAAUGUGUCUUUCCCAUAUGAAAUAGACAACACUUUAAACACAACUUUAAUUAAAUUUUUAUACAUUCCAAUUUGGGAAGCAGUGAUAAUUUAAAUUAUGACAAAAUUCACUGGAUGGCAGUGUCAGGGAGAGAAUGGGGAGGCCAUGCUGAGAAAAUGUUUAUACGUGCAAAGGAAGAGAAUUGCGUAGGACCUCAUAAACAGCUUUUGACUUUGCCAGUGACAAACUCAAGUGUGCUACGGAAGAGUCAGCUCCUGCAACCUGGAGCGGAGGCAAGGGGUCCGUCCUCAGUAAGUGUGGUGGGUCAAAUGGUGCCCCCAAAAACCUCAGAAUGUGACUGUGCUUGAAAUAAGAGUCUUUGCAGAGACAAAGAAGGAGACACAGAGAGACAAAGAGACGAAGAGAGGAGGGUGAUGUGAAGAUGGACGCAGAGAUCAAAUCCAUGAAGCUAAGGAAUUCCAGGAAGCGGAGAGAGCUGGGACAGAGAUAUGGAACAGACCCUCUCUCUGAGCUUCCAGAAGGUGUGAUUUUGGACUUCUCAUCCGCAGC